rnacentral:tRNA from 1 species
AGGCAUAUGGUGUAGGGGUUAUCACAUUCACUUUGCAUGAACUCCCAGACCCGGUUAUUUGCAAAAGGUCUCCGGUUCAAAUCCGGAUUUCUCCU